ACGGCCAGCUUCAGCCCGGAGACCCUCUCGGAGGCAGGACCGAGCGCAGGCGGAGGGGCCGGCGGAGGGGCCGUGGCGGGAACCCGGCUGAACUGAAGCCAGGAAGCUGUUACUCACUCCCAAGGUGUGGUUCCAAACCGGUUUGGAUCAGGCGUGGGUGGAGCCGGAGGAAGGCACCUUUCUUCCCUGGAAUCAGACCCUGUAUCCGUCUGCUCGGGUCACGACAACAAGCCAGCACUGACGCUGACUCCUCACCGUUCUGGAGGCUGGACGCCCACGAUCGAGGUGCCGGGAGCUUGUCCCAGCGGGGCCAGCAGGGGCUGCCAUCAUAGGUCCCCAGUGGUGCACGUAACGCGGACUGCUUCCCCAGACGGUCCUUGCCGACGACCCCCGUCAUCCUGACUCGAAUCCCGGCAACCAGCCGUCGCCACCGCCUCCUCGCUCGAGGGCAGAGCCGGGCCAGAGUCCACGCCAGGCACCGGCAGCAGAAGUGCCCUCCCAUGACAGCCCAGACACCUGCGGCAGCUUGAAAUUUGCAUGUCACUAAGAGGAAGCAUCAAACUCAGGCUAAGAAUGAAGUGAGCAGCGAGACAGAAAGUAGGGAACCGGAAGCUGGAGGCCAGCUGGGCCCUGCAGGCUCGAGGCAACGUUCUUUUACAAAAGGUGCAGAACCAGCGCGACUGAGCCCAGGAAACAGAGCCCAGGGUCAGAGCCAAAGAAGCAAGACUUCCUUGGAUGUCUGACGACUAAGAUGAGCAUCCAGUCUUUAAAAAGUCAUUGUUAAAAAUCCAGGAGGGAUAAAGAAGAAAGCUGGUGGCCCCUCUCAUUCGCUUCUUUCUGCAUCCCAGAGAGGAGGCCCGCCCCGCCUGCCUCUGCUCUGUGUGAUGCAUUCAUGUGACCAAGCACAGGAAGGGCCCAUCCAACUCAAGGCCGUCUGACCGUCCCGGGACCUCAUCUUCACGACGGCGCGGCUCCUGGACCUGGCCCUGGCUGCAGAACACGGAGACGCGAAUGCUCCACCGCGUUGUGAUUGUAGCCCUGACGGCUGCAGCAAAAGACGGGGACGGCGGGGCGGCCAGCCCCGUAGACAACAAGGGUGUCCGUAUUCCAUACCGUGCAAUGGCCUCUAGAGACAAAGCGUGUGAACAGGGAUGUACGUGUGCGAUAAACUGCGUCCCUGUGCUGUGCACCAGAAGCGAACACAGCACUGGAAGAAGGAAGCUGCGGUCUUUUCAAACAUGAAUGUGAAAGGAAUGGCAGAGAUAACUUUAAAAACAUACUCAGCGUACGUGUCAUCUCAUAGAAAUGAGCUGACCUGUCCCCUGGGAUUUUGAUAGACUCACUUUUUAAUAAUUCAAAUGCAGUGAUUUUGCCCCAAAAGCUGUAGCUCUCAUUCAGCGCUGCGCUAAUUCCUCCUGCGAGACGAGGUGACUUACAGGCAGUUCAUCCAGAACCCCAGGCUCGCCGUAAGUACCAGCUCAGGACUCCAGGCUGAGCAGGACGCGGGGACUGGCUCUCUGCUCCCUCCUGAAGCUCUGGGCCCCCGAACGAUGGCGCUCACACCCGGGGACCCUCCCCCCGCCUCCAGGUGAGGCGGGCACCACGCAGGUGGGUCCUGGGGGUGGUGGAGGGGACACACCCGGGAAGGGAAGAUGCCUGGAGCCCGUGGACUGGGGGUGACGGGAGGUGUGCAUGUGGAACGUUCUAGAGCCCCCGGGGGUGGGGGGGGCGGCUGCAUAAAAUAAGAACGUCACCGGGGAAUGAGCAGGCUGUGUCCGGGUGGGUGGUGGCCUGCAGGGGCUCAGGGAAUCACCAGGUCCAGUCUCCGGGCACCUGGCGUGGAGACGGCCGUGGGGCUGAAGCCGGCCGGCGGUAAGAGGGAGGGACUGGGUCACCAGGGCCAGGCACGCACACUAUUCCUCUGACGACGCCCGUUUGUUCUCGCCCAGGUCAGCCUGGCCUGGAACUGGGCUCGCGUUUACGUGAGACCGCAAACCCGAGCCGCCCCAAAGGGCUUAGGGCUCCCAGGGUGACCCCGGGAAGCCUCAGGUUCACCGAAGACACACAGAAAAAGGAGCUCCACGUUUCACUCUGAGUCUCAUUUCCAUCGUCUUAAAGUUGAGCGACGAGGCAGAGGACGAGGGAAACAGCGAGAAGCUGUGUGUUCCAGGGAAAGAGCGUUCCUGUGACUCAGGCCUUCGGUCCAUAAUUCACGCGGGAUCAUUCUGAGGUUUUGUGUGGAGGGGAUUACAUCAGGACAGGAGGUCUUCUGAGAGGAGCUGUAAACAUCCAGACGUGACUUCCUGGAGCCCGGUGGCCUUGGGGAUUUUGG